GGGAGGCAGCAGUGGGGAAUAUUGCGCAAUGGGCGAAAGCCUGACGCAGCGACGCCGCGUGUGGGAUGAAGGUCUUCGGAUUGUAAACCACUGUCGGGAGGGACGAAGCUCUGACGGUACCUCCAAAGGAAGCACCGGCUAACUCUGUGCCAGCAGCCGCGGUAAUACAGAGGGUGCAAGCGUUGUCCGGAAUCACUGGGCGUAAAGGGCGCGUAGGCGGCCCGGUAAGUAGGGGGUGAAAUUCUGCGGCUCAACCGCAGGACUGCCUCCUAAACUGCCAGGCUUGAGCACGGUAGAGGCUGGUGGAAUUCCCGGUGUAGCGGUGGAAUGCGUAGAGAUCGGGAAGAACAUCGGUGGCGAAGGCGGCCAGCUGGGCCGUUGCUGACGCUGAGGCGCGACAGCGUGGGGAGCAAACAGGAUUAGAUACCCUGGU
rnacentral:rRNA from 1 species